rnacentral:rRNA from 1 species
GGUUUGGUUGUGUGGUCUUUUCGUAUGAAUUGUACUGCGUCGACCGAAUCUUUCCUUCUGGCAAACUAUUGUGCUAUUUAUUUAGUGCGAUAGGGAACCAGGACUUUUACUUUGAAAAAAUUAGAGUGUUUAAAGCAGGCUUACGCUUGAAUACAUUAGCAUGGAAUAAUAAAAUAGGACUUUGGUUUUAUUUUGUUGGUUUUCAAGACCGAAGUA